AAACUACUUCCUCCGUCCUAAAAUUAUUGUCUUAAAUUUGUUUAGAUAUGAAUGUAUUUAGUCACAUUUUAGUAUUUAGAUACACUCAUUUCUAAACAAACCUAAGACAAGAAUUUUGGGACGGAGGAAGUACAUA
rfam:Hordeum vulgare subsp. vulgare, WGS project CAJW01000000 data, contig: morex_contig_274417